CGGGUGAGUAACGCGUGAGGAACCUGCCUCAAAGAGGGGGACAACAGUUGGAAACGACUGCUAAUACCGCAUAAGCCCACGGCUCGGCAUCGAGCAGAGGGAAAAGGAGUGAUCCGCUUUGAGAUGGCCCCGCGUCCGAUUAGCUAGUUGGUGAGGUAACGGCCCACCAAGGCGACGAUCGGUAGCCGGACUGAGAGGUUGAACGGCCACAUUGGGACUGAGACACGGCCCAG
rnacentral:rRNA from 1 species